rnacentral:rRNA from 1 species
CACGUAGGUAACCUGCCCUUAAGACGAGGAUAACCAUUGGAAACGAUGGCUAAGACUGGAUAGGAACAUUGAAGGCAUCUUUGAUGUUUUAAAAGACCUAGCAAUAGGUAUGCUUAAGGAGGGGCCUGCGGCGCAUUAGCUAGUUGGUGAGGUGAUAGCUUACCAAGGCGAUGAUGCGUAGCCGGACUGAGAGGUUGAACGGCCACAUUGGGACUGAGAGACGGCCCAAACUCCUACGGGAGGCAGCAGUAGGGAAUUUUCGGCAAUGGGGGAAACCCUGACCGAGCAACGCCGCGUGAAUGACGAAGUACUUCGGUAUGUAAAGUUCUUUUAUUAGGGAAGAAUGGCAGGUGGAAAAACCUGAUUGACGGUACCUAAUGAAUAAGCCCCGGCUAACUAUGUG